rnacentral:lncRNA from 1 species
AGCUUACUUGAUGAGGAAUUUUCCCAUAUUAAAUCAGCUAUGAACAUGGUGGAAGAAAAGCUCAAGGGCUGCAGCAUGAGCGAGAGAGACUUAAAUUCUUCUCAAGUAGAUGAUUUAAAGUUCAAUGAACUUGAAUUUCAAAAUGUUCGGAUAAACAAUGAUGAUGGUUCAGAUUUGAUCUUUAAGGUAGUUAGUUCUUGCUUUUGCUCUAGACAUUUCUACAUCUUCACCCUUCCAUUUUAUUUUGGUAGUGUUCUCUUCUAGGAGUUUUCUUCCAUAAGAAGGUUUCUGUUGCACUCAAGUUUCUCACUUAUGCACUAAUAAUGAUGAAGAUUCAAAGUUCAAUGAAUAUGAAGUUCAAGAUGUUCGGAUAAACAAUGAUGAUGGUUCAGAUUUGAUCUUUAAGGUAUUUAGUUCUUGCUUUUGCUCUAGACAUUUCUACAUCUUUACCCUUCCAUUUUGCUUUGGUAGUGUUCUCUUCUAGGAGUUUUCUUCCAUAAGAAGGUUUCUGUUGCACUCAAGUUUCUUAGUUAUGCACUAAUAAUGAUGAAGAUUCAAGGGGCCAAAGCUAUUGUCUUUCUUAGAAUGUUAUGGUGAUAAUAACAAAUGUAUAACAUAUCUGUUAAAGAAAGAAAAGGACUAGACAUUGAG